rnacentral:rRNA from 1 species
CUUAACGGCCAUACCAACCUGGCUAUGCCCGAUCUCGUCUGAUCUCGAAGCUAGCAGGGUUUGGGCCUGGUUAGUACUUGGAUGGAGACCGCCUGGGAAUACCAGGUGCUGUAAGCU